UACUAUCAGACUGGACCAGCUAGAAGCCGGGUGAGCACAAACCACUCGUGCCCCUUCAGUGUCCGUUGGUACUAGGGCAUGACCGUCAUCAACGUAGCAAAACAUUUCAUUUCGACAAAGCAUUUGCCAUUGACAUGGGAUCCUCAGCAAUGGAGGAUAGAGAUGAGGCCUUCACAGAGCACCUAUACAGCUGUGGGGCUGUCACAGAGGUCCUCAAAUUCGUCACCUGUAACCUACACUCUGGUAAUCCCCCUAAAGUGCUUUUUCUCAUCAUUUCAGACUGAAUGGAAGGAUGAAGCACAAGCUGGUCUUCCUCAGUGAGCACAUUCCCAGGGACACUUGCCUGGUCCUAAUGGGCCACUCCGUCGGCUGCUACAUCAUCCUGGAGAUGUUGACGUUGGAUCCUGAGCUGCAGUUGAGACCCUACUUUGGAUUAAAUACUAUGGUAGAAGUGAAAUUGUAGUGUAACGUCUAUCAUAUCGAGAUUUGUCAGGCUUUAAAGCGGCAAUCAGCAGUUGAAACAACAACAAAUCGAACUACCCACCACCUUUUCCCUAAAACGACCCAGUCGGGGGAGAAGGGCCUUGGUGUAACGGCAGAUCUCUUCUUCGUCUGAAGAGGAGUAAGGAUCGGACCAAGAUGUAGCGUGUAGAAGAGUUCAGCUGUUCUCCAACACCAUCCAUCCAAGAUGAGCCUGUCCUGUGCUGAAGCAUAUGAACACCUCAACCCCUGUCCUACACUUAAGUCAAGCCUCUGAACACCUUAACUCAUGCCUCAUACCCUCAUUCAAUCACUGCUGUGAUCCUUUCCCAACACUUUGUGGUGAAAUCUGUGAUGCUGUUCCCCACUAUUGAGCGCAUGGCGGUGACCCCUCAGGGCAGGCUGUUGACCCCGGUGCUGUGCCACCUGCGCCUAUGUAGCUUACCUGCCCGUCUUCCUCCUCUCUCUGCUGCCUGAAGUAUUCUCUUCUAUCCAGUAAUCACUUCCCCAAUAAAACUGCAUCUGAAUCUCAUAUUGUGUUGCGGCACUGAAUCAGUUGAUACACGUCAUAAUUUAUCCAGUCUUUUGAAAGAAAUUAAAUAUCUCUGUUUUGGCAAAGGAAGCCCUACAUUACUGUAGCAUCAGGAAAUACAAUGUUUGAAAUUAGGUUUACAUAAAGCAAAGCUAGUCCCAGCCAGGUGUGGCUACCAAGAGGAGGAUGGCAUAUUUUACUGUCAGAGAUUAGAUAUUAUUUAUUACAACUUCUAGAAUAUAUCCCCUCUUAAUUUGCCAGAUGAUGGCUGGGGAUUUGGGUAUGAGUGGAAGGAAUUAAGACAGCUUCUAGGAGAAGGAGAAGAGCCGGCCAUCCCUCCUUCCUGCAUAGAGCGGAGGAAAGCAAAGCCUGGCUCACUCGCUCUUUCUGUCGGAUUUGAAGUGUGCUAUGUUUUCCUCCUCAGUCUGUCCUGGGAGGGGAGAGAUUGAUGUUGUGGCGGCCCGAGGGCCUGUGCCAAAAAAAGCUCUCUCUAGCCAAGUAGCCAUGCUGUGUCUCAGCCUCAGAAGCUUCUUCCUUCUUUCUCCCUCAGUCUCUUCUGUGAGGUCAGAAAGCAUCUUAUUUUUCUUGUCACUGCUGAGCAUGUUUUUAAUCAUUAGCACUUCCCUUUAAUUAGCUUUUGGAAUUUCUUUAUUCCCUCAUGGUCCUUUUUUUUGCGUUUUCCUGCUCAAUUAAUUAUAC